rnacentral:misc_RNA from 1 species
ACACAUCUUCUGAGCUAUAAGCAUUACUUAUUUAGUCCCGUCAAACGGAUUAUUUCUAUUGCUGCAGCUAACAUAAAGGUCGAUUGUCCUUGUGCCCGACUGAUGCAGGAAGACAAAAAGAAAGUCUGCGUCUCUGACGGAGGUCCUCUCUCUUUGUUCAACUCGAUCUCAAAUCAAGCAAGACUACCCGCUGAACUUAA